rnacentral:rRNA from 1 species
UACGUAGGGUGCAAGCGUUUGUCCGGAAUUAUUGGGCGUAAAGAGCUCGUAGGCGGUUUGUUGCGUCGGCUGUGAAAUCCCGAGGCUCAACCUCGGGUCUGCAGUCGAUACGAGCAAACUAGAGUGUUGCAGGGGAGACUGGAAUUCCUGGUGUAGCGGUGAAAUGCGCAGAUAUCAGGAGGAACACCGGUGGCGAAGGCGGGUCUCUGGGCAACAACUGACGUGAGGAGCGAAAGCGUGGGGAGCGAACAGG